AAGCCUCAUUUAUCUGAGGCAGCAUCUUCUUGCAGUCAUCAUCCUCCAACUGCUUUGAUGUUACAAGAGAUUACAUUGAGGUAUGAUUAGAAGGGAUGCUGGAAUUAUGCCCACCUCUCCUCCCAGGAUUUUUAAGAGAGAUCUUAACCAGGAAAGGCAGCAAGUGCCCAGGCAGAAAUCUCUCACAUACUGAUCAGGAAAUCCUGUUGGAAGUUGGUGUGAGUGUCUUCAAGAACAGUUGUGAAUUAAAUUCAGAAUAUGCUUCAACUGCCACGCUAUAUUCACAGAAGAAAGGAUGAGCCUAACUUGUAUUUUAAGGAAAAAUGACAUGAGCAACUAACUCCAGGAGGGAAUUUAGUGCUGCAGAUCCUGUGUAAGAGGAUGCAUCCCUGUAGAAUGGAGGAAAGAGUCUGUGGAAUGGGACUUGAGAUUUCCCCUCACUUCAGAUUAGAUAUUGGCUGAGAUACCUUUUUAGCAAUACAGUUUUAUAAAUCUUUCACUUCAAACCUACUGUGAAGUUUCGUAGUAAUAAAAACUGGGUGGUUGUGUAGAGUAAUCUAGGG
rnacentral:lncRNA from 1 species